AUCUCCGGGCAUCUAUUUACCAUGACGACCUACAGUAAAAUGAGACAACUCGUCAUGGAUUUCAAUAUUUAUUGGUAUGAGGACGGCGACAUUUUCCUUGGAUUUGAUGAUCCUGGGUAACGUCCCGCAUGCCGCACACAUCAUCACCCGAUUGGGACCCGGAAUCGCCAGCGUUGGCUGGCUGUUCGACAUCGGACCAGUGAUCGCCAGUCAUUUCGUCGUCGGUGGUGGCAGGUAGUUCUCCGGAACCCAAGUCCUUCUACGACUUCCAGAAGGUUGCAACAGCCGGUCCAACGUGUCCGAAGGAUCAUCGUCGUCAUCAUUACAUCAGUGUACAAAAACCUGUCAGCAGAAUAUUUGGAAU